ensembl:lncRNA
GUUUCUUGAAUUUUGAGAUUUAACUUUAUAUUCUCAAAGUGCCUACCAAAAUUCUGGGAUCAAUCAGUAUGUUCCCCUAAAUUCAUGCUGUUAAAUGAUUACUUUCCCUUCUUCUCAAAAGGAAACAAGAAUGGGUUCUAAUUCAUUAUUCUAUUUGCCAUUUUCAGGAUUUAAAGAAUUGUCAUUAACAGCCUUUUAUGUGAAACUCAUAAUUUAUUUGGCUCUUUAGGUACCAAGCUGAGCUUAAUCAAGUGUGCUAAUUUUUUCAACAGUAAAAGUUUCUGAUGAUGUCAUGUAAUAAAGUUCUCAGAGAAGCUGAUUCAGACUUUCCACCAAAGAGUUGUGUUGGGCAUAGACAACGUAAACAUCAGCCACAUUUUAGCACAACCUUCAUCAUUCUCCUGUGGUUUGACUUUUCUGAUGCUGUCUAAACUUAAACACAAAAGGAAACCCCACCUUAUAUGGAUGACUUAGAAUGGAAAAGAAGCUCCACAGCUUUCCUGUUUGGCUGAGCUACGAGCAAGAGGAGCAAGAAGACUGGUGUGAGUUGUCAUUUCCUUCUCCAGGAGAUUUUCCUGACCCAGGAAUGGAAUCCGCACUCCUGCAUUGGCAGGCAGAUUCUUUACCACUGAGCCACCUGGGAAGCUCUCUACAUGGAGGCAGGUUACCUGAGUUCACUGUCCCUGGAAAUGGACCAAACAGAUGGGCAAGCAAUGUGGUGAGUUUAAAGACACAUCUAUUCUCUGGGAAGGGGACAGGAGAGAGGAAGACAGGUAUAUUAGCUAUCCACUGCAGCAUAACAAAUUAUACCAACAUUUAGCAGCUGAAAACAGUCAUUUAUUAUCUCACUCCAUCCCUGAGACUCGGGAAUCGAGAAGGGUAUGGCUGAGUGGUUCUGGCUCAGAGUCUCUGAUGGAGUUGCAGUCAAGGCAGUCAACUGAGGCCACCAUCAUUUGAAGCCGGAACUGACACCACUUCUAAAAUGGCUUACUUAUACAGCAAUUGACUGGAGGCCUCAGGUCCUCACCCUUGAAACUCUCCUCAAACCAUGAAACUGGCUUCUCCCAGAGUGACUUGAGAGAGAGACGAAGACAGAAGCUGCAGGGUUUUGUUAUGACCUAGCCUUGGAAGUGAAGCAGUAUCACCUCCACUGCAAGUCACCAGAAAGUCACUACGUCCAUCCCACACUCAAAGUAAGGGAAAUUAAAUGCCACCUCUUGAAAGAUACAAUAUCAAAAAUGUAUGGGCAUGUUUUAAAAUAUAUACUGCUGCUGCCGCUAAGUCGCUUCAGUCGUGUCCGACUCUGUGCAACCCCAGAGAUGGCAGCCCACCAGGCUCCCCUAUCCCUGGGAUUGUCCAGGCAAGAACACUGGAGUGGGUUGCCAUUUCUUUCUCCAAUGCAUGAAAGUGAAAAUGAAAGUGAAGUUGCUCAGUCGUGUCCAACUCCCAGCGACCCCAUGGACUGCAGCCUACCAGGUUCCUCCGUCCAUGGGAUUCUCCAGGCAAGAGUACUGGAGUGGGGUGCCAUUGCCUUCUCCAAAAUAUAUACUAGUUAGUAUAAAAUAGAUAAACAACAAGGUACUACUGUAUAGCACAGGGAAUUAUAUCAGUGUCCUGUGGUAAGUGUGUGUGAGUUGCUCAGUCGUGUCUGACUCUUUGUGACCCCAUGGACUGUAGCCUGCCAUGUCUGCGGAAUUCUCCAGGCAAGUAUACUGGAGUGAGUUGCCAUUUCCGACUCCAAGGGAUCUUCCUGAACCAGUUAUCAAACCUGGGUGUCCUGCAUAUCCUGUGAUAAACCAUAUUGGAAAAGAAUAUGAAAAAGAAAGUAUAUAACUGAAUCACUUUGCUGUAUAGCAGAAAUUAAUGCAGCACUGUAAAUCAACUGUACUUCAGUAAAAUAAAUUUAAAAAAUUAAACA